CCUCUGCUCAAGAAUCCCCCAUGGGGACACUCUGCUCUCUCCUCCAUGGGCACCACACUGCAAAACUCCCGAGGAAAAUCUUCCCCCGUGGGCCCUGCGGCUCCUUGGCUGAGGUCCAGAGCAAACAGCCAAGGCAGUGGCCUGAAAUGUUUUCCCAGCUGGCCCACACUUCUCUGCCGGAUGCACAUUGUCCCUGGGGAAAGAGAGGUGCAGAACCCUUCACUAAUGGCCUGGAAUGUCCAACAGCAAUCACAGCCAUGGACAGCUCUCGGGAACCACUGCACCAUGGAUUUUCCAUCCUGGAAGGCCAAGAUUGAGAGUGUCCUGCUGGUGCCUCAGGGCCUGGCUGAACAGGGCUUGUCAGAGAUGCUGGCAGGGCACCAACAGCCCUGCUCCUCACAGGGCACCUCUGUUACCCCAGUCAGCUCCGAGGGGCUGCCUGGGGACAGGUGCCCACGUCCCCAUGGCCCCUGGCACGGGCCCAUCCUGCUCAGGGCCAGCGCUGGCCUUGGCUCAGGGCCAGGGCCAUGGCCCAGGUGCUCUGGGAGGGCUCAGGGGCUGCAGCCUCACCCAGCGUUGCCCAGAGCGAGAGGAAGGUGAAGGUGGCUGUGCUCAGCGUGGCCCUGCUCUUCUCCAUCCUGCUGUGCUCCCCGGCUCAGGCCCAGGUGAGGCACCCGCCAAACGCUGUCCCCACACCCUGCCCUUUCUGGCCUCCCACCCCACCCUUUUGCU
rnacentral:lncRNA from 1 species